rnacentral:lncRNA from 1 species
AUGUUACACAAGUGCAAGCAAGAUGGAAUCUCCCGCCAUUGGUGGGAAAAGGAAUGUAAAGUUACCAAAGAGAUAGACGAAGCAUAUCAGCAACGGGCCGGUAUCCUCGAGAAUGGCACACUGAGAAUUUUCCCUGCAAGAAUAAAGGAUUCUGGACUAUAUCAAGCAACCGUUCUGAUCUUUGGUGGAAAACACACAGCAAUUGUCAAUCUUACAGUAACUGAAGUUCCUCUUUCCUUCCACCCCUCCCAAUCCAAUGUAGUGGAUAUGCAGGAAAAAGACAACACCAAGAACAAAGGUUUUGGAGCCUUGAGAAGAAUGGCUACUGAGAAUAUGAUUCGAAUGGGCUUGGCCUGCCUCACUCUCUUCUUUCUUGGACUGCUGCUGGUGGAGGUAAGUGCUGUAUUGUGGAGAUUGGAAACACUACUGUUUUUGAUUACCAUACAUCUCCUAGAAUCCCAGAUGGAUUCUGUGCAUUGUCAUCCUAAAAAGUAAAAUAUCCCAACACUUGCUAUUUAAGAUGGCUGCUUUGACAUUGCUAAAAUAGAGUAUAAUGCAUCCCCUAAAAUUCCAUAAAAUCUGUAUGAUUUAUGUUUAUCACUGUACAUUCUCAAUUAAUUGCUGGGAGAAGAAGAAAGUAUUCUAUGGGAGGGAGUUCUGUAACUUGAAGAGCAGCCACUGAGAUUUUGUGCCUCAUAUAUUUAGCCAAAGGGUAGGUGAAAGCAGUGAGACUGAUAGAAAGCCUUCUCCCAAAGUCUGAGUUCAUAAUCAUAAUGACUAUAUAAUUUAUAAUUUAAAUAGAAGCACAAUACACCUUACUCUGGUGAGACAGACCAUGGCCAAGUGAAUACUUGCUCAGUCUACCUAUCCAUGUGUUGUCUGCCGUUGCUGAACAUCUCAAGAAGUCUUUCCUUCUUACGUUGUCUCUGCACUAGGCUUGGACCAGAAUCUUUCACAUGUAACUUCAAACACAGAACUCGUGGAACUUCAGACAGAGUGUUGUGUUUGUAUGUUAGAACCUACGGCUAACCUAGAUCUCUCAUUAAAAGAUGAUUAGGAAAACAGCUUUAAAUUAUUCCUUUUGUCAUUGUGAGUAUUUCUUUGUUAGGAUGAGCUGACCACAUUAUUUAUAUGCUCAAGGUCUGGGUCCAGUUCCUGGCCAAUCCAGGUGAGGAGAUGCUUUAUGUCAAACCUUGGAGGGCCAUCAUCAGUCCCUCAACUCUGGAAUUUCCUGCUCAAGGAAGCCAGAAUGGCCUACUCUCUUUUGUCGUUCUGGCAGCAGGCUAAGAACCUUUUUAUUAAGGCAGGCUUUUAAAGAAGAAGGUUUUAAAGAUUAAGUCAGGGAUGCUGUGCUUUUUAACAUUGAAUAUGUUUUAUGGAUUUUAACUGUGAUUUUAAAAAUACCAUUGAUAUUUAUUUUCUUUUAAUGUUUGUAUAUUUGUAGAUUUUAAAUUGUAUUGAAAUGUUUUUAAUGUAAGCCACUUUGAGUCUCUUUGUGGAGAGAAAAAGCGGGGUACAAAUAAACAUAAACAUAAUAAUAAAUGUCUGGCUUGGGAAAAGAGAGUUUUCAGUUCUCUGAGUUUCUAGGAAUUCAGCCCUUUCCCUGUUCCCUCCACUUACAGAACUGAACAAACGCUAGAAGAAGUUGUCAUGACUGAACAACAAGAUUUUCUGAUCUCUCAGCUUUUUAUUUGUUCAGCUUGGAGAAAAGAGACAGAUUAAAAUUACAGUGGUUGAGGAUCUAAGAUGAAUGUGGGUAGAUGUAUGAUAACCAUGCACCAUACAGGUUGUUGAUUGGAUAGGAAGAAGCAGAUAUACACAUCUACUGAACACCUUCACAUGGAAAGACACCUGUAUUGAAGAAGAACAAUUAAACAUUAGUAUUACAUUAACAUAAACCUCAACAAGGCUCUAUUGGACUUUAUCCCAUGUGGGAGAAGAGCAUCAUAUAACUGUGGUGUUUAGUGCUGAAGCAUUACAAUGCACAUAGUUCUGUUUGUCAUUCCUUAUCACAUGUUAUUCUUUCUUGUCAUUUCUCCCCAAAUCAUCCAAUUUCAGCUUUAUCACACAAAUGAGUGCAAUUCGCACCCACUCCAUUCAAAAAAGACUUGGGUAAAAACUUUCCUUUCCCUCCAAUACUGCUGCUCUGGAGGAGACCUGAGGCGCUGAUCCUACGGACACUUUUCUGGGGAUACUGGGCUUUCUCCUCCCCUUGAUCUUGCUGCUUUGGAGGAGAUCCGAGUCACUGAUCUGUACUCUGGAUAUAAUGAGCUCUCCUUACAAUUUCACUAAUCUCCAUUGCAGAAGUCAGAAACUUAAAAAGCUAACAGUCUCGUACAGACAGGAAAAACAAAGAUAUUAUGAAUUUUUUGUAUUUUCAAUUAUUACAUUUAUUCAAACAAAUAUCAUGGAAGACUCAUGAAGCAGGACUUGGGGAGAGAAAUGUCAAUGCUUAGUAGGGAACCACCCACAGGAAUGUCCCUUACUCCAUGACUAAAGCGAUUCAACCCAGGCAAAUUUGACAUCUCCCAUCCCACAUAUUUUUGGGUGUUUUUUCCAGAUAUAUCCUGUUUUCUGAGUCUAGAAGAUGAUCUCUUUUUGAGACUGUUUCAGAUGUUUUCCUAACAAAGCACAAUGGGUGCUGCAUUGUGUGACGAUCUCCGUCAUAAAUUGUACCCUCAAUGUUUAGAAACCUCCACAGAUGGACAUGAGCCAAAUGGUACUGAUUUUUUAUUCUUUUUGUAUCCUAGCAUGUUUGCAAUUUACCUGGUGGUAGCAGUAAUACAAGGAAAAAAGACUGUGGGAGACCCUGAGAGAUUUAUUGCUGUCUUGAGGUGAUAUGUCAGUUGAAGUCCAUCUCUUCCAUUGAUAGAAUGAGAAUAGUUGUGAGACACCAACUGAAAGUAAGGAAAACUCAUGAUGCAUUUGGAAAACUUAUCAUCAAAUCAUUUUGCAGGACUACUGUGUAAUUGACUACAGGUACACAAACAUAGGAUGUGAUCUAGGGAUUUCUUUGAAAUCUUAUGAAUGUGAAUACAGGCAGUCCCAAGUUAUGAAAAGAUAGAUUCUGAAGAUUUGUUCAUAAAUUGAAUUUGUAUGUAAGUUGGAACAGGUAGAUUUUUAAAUGUAACUCCAGCCAUAUAUACUUUGAAUAGCAUGGAGAAGGGUUAACAACCCUAUGACAUUUGUUUUGCUGUCUGUGUUCCAGUUCACAAUAUUUCACCUCACUUCCUGUCUGUGAUAAUUGGAUUCUGAACAUUUUGUCUUGUUGUAGAAACAAGCAAUGGUGAUAACGGUUCAGUGGAGACAGCUUUUCCCCACGAGAACUUCUUGAAUUGGGUUCCAUUGUAGAUGAAAAAACUGUUAGGUACAUGAAGGAAGAACUUCUGAAAUGGGUUCAAUGCUCCUAGAAAUGCAAGAAAAUAUCCCCAAACCAUGCUCCAUGCUUUCCUGAGAACUUUCCUUCAUUAAGCAUUUGCUUACAGUUCCAACAGAGCAAAACAUAGUAUGAGAUUUUGUAGAUGUACUUAAUUCUGUGCAGCUGGUGCUAUGCAAAGAGAAUGUGCAAUUUUGAGGUGAUGAUUGUGAUUUUCUUCUGUAAUUAUUGCAAUUGUUGUUAUUAAGCUCUGUUCUUUGUACCCAGGUCCCCACAGCAUUUUCUAUUCUAAAGGUCAUACUUGAGAGAAGCAAUAAUUACAAUUUAUCUAUUAUUUCUAAUCUUUCUGUUUUGUAUUUAAAACAG